GUGCCAGCCGCCGCGGUAAUACAGAGGUCCCAAGCGUUGUUCGGAUUCACUGGGCGUAAAGGGUGCGUAGGUGGUGAGGUAAGUCGGAUGUGAAAUCUCCAAGCUCAACUUGGAAACUGCAUUGGAAACUACCUUGCUAGAGGAUUUGAGGGGGGAUUGGAAUACUUGGUGUAGCAGUGAAAUGCGUAGAUAUCAAGUGGAACACCAGUGGCGAAGGCGAAUCCCUGGAAAAUACCUGACACUGAGGCACGAAAGCUAGGGGAGCAAACAGGAUUAGAUACCCGCGUAGUCC
rnacentral:rRNA from 1 species